ACGUACGGGAAGUUUAGGGUGGAAUCCGUGGAAGUGACGGCUUCAGCCCGGAGCUCCUUAUCUUUUCAACGGCAGAGCGCACACACAUGUCAAAGUGACAAAAGUGUCAAGUGACAAAACGACGAGUGCUGCCAGCUGAUGUAAUCUGCUGCUCGGUCUGCCCACAAAUGGCAAGACUGGGGCACCUGCUGUUGGCCGGCAGUCUUUUAAGGCUGGUAUUUGUGAUUUGAGAUAUUUGGAUACGUAGGAUGGCAUCUGGUCUUGUUUCUGCAUGUCAGCAAACCUACGUAAGAGUGGCUGCUAUGUUGUUCUCUGACAGCGCUGCUUUGAUCCUCUCCACGGCAUCGUCCACAUACCUCGUCCCAAAGGGAACGCGCAACAGAAGCAACCAGUUAUGAAGAAUGGACACUCUGGGAGCUGAAAGAGGACCGUUGUGACAACCCGAAACACACCUUUUAAAAUGAAGGUAAACGGAAAUAUGUGUGUGCGUGCGUGUGUGCGACACUCUCCCAUCUAGUACUCUAGGGGGCAAGCUGUUGAUUGACAAACGAAACAAAACAAGUACAAAGUACA
rnacentral:lncRNA from 1 species